GGCCCCUUGGCUCAAGCUGGCUAAGAGCACCACCGGCUCAUCACCGGUCGGUAACCGGGGUUCGAGUCCCCUGAGGGGCCC
rnacentral:tRNA from 1 species